rnacentral:misc_RNA from 1 species
AUUGAAGAAGCUCUCAUACAGAGAAAGAAGAUGGAACUGUUACAGAAAUAUGUCAGUGAUGACUUACAGGCGGAGGAGGAGGAGUCAAAGAAAAUGCUUGGCUUAUGAUUGGUAGCAAUUCAAUGAUUGACAGGUUCUGUGAUCUGUUAGAAAAAAUACAUUUUUUUAAGUGAAGGCAGCAGAUGUAUGAAUGAGAGCAAUUUAUUCUUGCAUCUUAAAUGCUUUAUUGAGUAGCUAACCAUGGACUCAGUCCUUCCAUUAUUAUGCUCUUAGUAUUUCAAACAAACAAAAAAGAUGUCAAAUGAUUUGGUGGGAACGCCAUAAUUAAAUGUAUUGCAACUGCAUGCAACUUACACUUAUCAGAAGCUGUGUAGUCUUUUAUUCAAAAAGACAUUGUCAUAAUUCAUUGAUACCUUGUUCGUUUACAUCAUUCUAUAACUUUUCCGUCUCAUAAUUUACAUGUAUAGAUAUAUAUUUUAUGUCGUCAUUCAUACUAUGUACAUUUGCUUUGAAAAGCUAGCUUUUUGGCUGGAAUAAAGUUUAAACAAUUACUGUU